rnacentral:rRNA from 1 species
UACGUAGGGUGCAAGCGUUAAUCGGAAUUACUGGGCGUAAAGCGCACGUAGGCGGAUAUUUAAGUCAGGGGUGAAAUCCCAGAGCUCAACUCUGGAACUGCCUUUGAUACUGGGUAUCUUGAGUAUGGAAGAGGUGAGUGGAAUUCCGAGUGUAGAGGUGAAAUUCGUAGAUAUCGGAGGAACACCAGUGGCGAAGGCGGCUCACUGGUCCGA